CCAAAUUAAAAGCCUAAAUCAGUGAAUCACCCAUGGACCAGAUUACUUACUAGUUACCACUACCAGAGGUCCAGACUCUAGAAUCAGUUUAUUUUUUUCCCAAUUCUUGAUUUCCUUCUCAUCAAAACCGGUAGCCAAAGAGAUCGAAGAAGAGCAAACUUUUCUUGAGUUCUUCCCCCAAUUCCUUUCCGUCAAACCGAUCACCUGAGUUUACUGAUUGAGCUAGUAGCUGUAGUGGCGUGAAUGGUGAACCCACUGGUACGAUUCACCAUUUUUUUCUAGUCUCUCGUUCUCUAAGUCUCUGACUCUCUAUCUGUGAUUUUCUUUGUGCAAUUUUUCAUGUAUUUAUAAAUUAUACAGAUAACCACCUAUAUAAUGGUCCAAUUUUUGGGUUGUUGAUGAAUUUAGCUUCGGUUUUUAUUAAAAUAUUGUGCUACUUUCGUGUAAUUCAGUGCCUGAUUAUGUGAUUGAAUCAUUGAACUUGCUUGUUUUGAUGAAGCCCACUUUAUGAUUUUGAUAAUUAGAUCGACGAUGUUUAUUAUUUUUAUAAUUUUGAUCCUAUAUAUUAUUUGAUUGCAAUGCUAACUUGUUGCAGUUAGUAAAAAAGGGUGGAAAGUAAUGGGGGGAAAUGGGUUGGAUCAUGAAAUUUUAAUAAACGAUCAGCCUUCGACCAGACCGGAC
rnacentral:lncRNA from 1 species